AUGGACUGGGAUGAACUGGGAGGGACUCCGCUCACUGGGACGGACUGGGGUUAUGGGGAUAGGCUGGGCUUACUGGGAUGGGCUGGAAUUACUUGGGAUGGACUGGGGUUACUGGGAUGGGCUGGGCUGUACUGGUCUGUACUGGGAGCCUCAGGCACUGCACACCAGUGGGCUGUACUGGGCUGUACUGGGCGCCUCAGGCACCGCACACCAGUGAGUUGUACUGGUCUGUACUGGGUUGUACUAGUCUGUACUGGAGCCCCAAGCACGGCCACACCAGUGGGCUGUACUGGGUUGUACUGGGCUGUACGGGGCUGUACUGGGAGCCUCAGGCACUGCACACCAGUGGGCUGUACUGGGCUGUACUGGGAGCCUCAGGCACUGCACACUAGUGGGCUGUACUGGGUUGUACUGGGCUGUACUGGGAGCCUCGGGCACUGCACACCAGUGGGCUGUACUGGGCUGUACUGGGAGCCUCGGGCACUGCACACCAGUGAGUUGUACUGGGCUGUACUGGGAGCCUCGGGCACUGCACACCAGUGGGUUGUACUGGGCUGUACUGGGAGCCUCGGGCACUGCACACCAGUGGGUUGUACUGGGCUGUACUGGGAGCCUCAGGCACUGCACACCAGUGAGUUGUACUGGGUUGUACUGGGCUGUACUGGGCGCCUCGGGCACUGCACACCAGUGGGCUGUACUGGGUUGUACUGGGUUGUACUGGGAGCCUCAGGCACUGCACACCAGUGGGCUGUACUGGGCUGUACUGGGAGCCUCAGGCACUGCACACCAGUGAGUUGUACUGGGUUGUACUGGGAGCCUCGGGCACUGCACACCAGUGGGCUGUACUGGGCUGUACUGGGCUGUACUGGGAGCCUCGGGCACUGCACACCAGUGGGUUGUACUGGGCUGUACUGGGUUGUACUGGGAGCCUCAGGCACUGCACACCAGUGGGUUGUACUGGGCUGUACUGGGAGCCCCAGGCACUGCACACCAGUGGGCUGUACUGGGUUGUACUGGGAGCCUCAGGCACUGCACACUAGUGGGCUGUACUGGGUUUUACUGGGUUGUACUGGGAGCCUCGGGCACUGCACACCAGUGGGCUGUACUGGGUUAUACUGGGUUGUACUGGGAGCCCCAGGCAUGGGCACACCAGUGGGCUGUACUGGGCUGUACUGGUCUGUACUGGGAGCCCCAGUGCCAUUCCCCACCGGUGUCCAAGCCAGGCCCAAUUCCCACGCUGGGCUCUGCAGGAUCCCGAGGGGAUUUUGGGGCAAUUCCUCCCCUUUUCCCACACUUCGCUCCGAGCCCAGUCCUGGGAAGAGGCCCCGGAAUUCCCAACCCACUCCCGAGCCUGCGGGAGCAGAAUUCCCAGAAUUCCAGGGAAUCGAACCAAGAAGGGCCGGAUUGAAGGGCGGCUGCCCGAGAGGGAGCAAUCCCGUGGGAAAAGGAUCGGGAUGA
rnacentral:lncRNA from 1 species